GAGGCGUGUGUGUUGACAAAGCUCACAAUGAGGUGUGUGUGUUGACAAAGCUCACAAUGAGGUGUGUGUGUUGACAAAGCUCACAAUGAGGUGUGUGUGUUGACAAAGCUCACAAUGAGGUGUGUGUGUUGACAAAGCUCACAAUGAGGUGUGUGUGUUGACAAAGCUCACAAUGAGGUGUGUGUGUUGACAAAGCUCACAAUGAGGUGUGUGUGUUGACAAAGCUCACAAUGAGGUGUGUGUGUUGACAAAGCUCACAAUGAGGUGUGUGUGUUGACAAAGCUCACAAUGAGGUGUGUGUGUUGACAAAGCUCACAAUGAGGUGUGUGUGUUGACAAAGCUCACAAUGAGGUGUGUGUGUUGACAAAGCUCACAAUGAGGUGUGUGUGUUGGCAAAGCCCACAAUGCUGAGGGGAGGACGGCUCGUAAUAAUAUCCAGAACUGUGCAAAUGGAAUGGCAUCAAACACCUGGAAACCAUGUGAUCCCAUACCACUGAUCCAGCUCCAGUCAUCACCAUGAGUCCAUUCUGCCACCAGCCCCCAGUGGUGUGUGUGUAAUAGGAGAUCCAACAGAACACAGAAAUGUGAUCUACAGAUGAUGUAUUAAACAGGUAGAAGGAAACACACACCACUGUCACCCUUAAAGGAGGAGGGGAAGGUGUUUAUGACUAGGGUGGUGUGUGUGUGUGUGUGUGUGUGUGUGCGUGCGUGCGUGCGUGCUUAGUUGGCAGGAAGGUGAUGCUGCCACAGGGCUGGAACUGUGAUACUACCUAUGGGUAGUAUCGGAACCUAACGUGUGACGCACAAUCCCUGAUACAGAGAGCAGUGUUUAGUCUCACUUGAGCUGGAGUUGUUGAAAUAGGGGAGAAAUGUAUCUCAUAAACUAGAUCUUUUUAUAAACACUGCUUCCACCUAGUGGUCAGAAACCAGUAUGAACAGCUGCCUCCCUUAAAGAUUUGACAAUAUAAUCAGUGUACUGGGAGUCAUAAAAUUGAAUUAAGUUAGGCUUUCUAUGCUGUCAGUCGUGUAACUAGUCCUGUAGAUGGCACUACACAUUCAGAUAUUAGCAGAGUAGGUUCUGCUUGUCGAAAGCCUUCCAAAUAUGACCGUUACAGGACAAAUGGGUUCUGUUCUCUCUCUCCCCUGUCUUUCUCUUCUCCCUCUCCCCUGUCUUUCUCUUCUCCCUCUCUCCUGUCUUUC